rnacentral:rRNA from 1 species
UUGUGUGAAUACAUAGCACAUUCGAGGUAGACGCAGAGAACUGAAACAUCUAAGUACCUGCAGGAAGAGAAAGAAAAUUCGAUUCCCUGAGUAGCGGCGAGCGAAACGGGAAAAGCCCAAACCAGCAAGCUUGCUUGUUGGGGUUGUAGGACUCCAAUAUGGUAGUUCUUUCAGAUAGUCGAAUGACUUGGAAAAGUCAGUCAAAGAGGGUAAAAACCCCGUAGACGAAAUGUGGAAGACACCUAGGAGGAUCCUGAGUACGGCGGAACACGAGAAAUUCCGUCGGAAUCCGGGAGGACCAUCUCCCAAGGCUAAAUACUCCCUAGUGACCGAUAGUGAACCAGUACCGUGAGGGAAAGGUGAAAAGCACCCCGGAAGGGGAGUGAAAUAGAACCUGAAACCGUGUGCCUACAACAAGUCAAAGCCCGUUAAUGGGUGAUGGCGUGCCUUUUGUAGAAUGAACCGGCGAGUUACGAUUGCAUGCGAGGUUAAGUUGAAGAGACGGAGCCGCAGCGAAAGCGAGUCUGAAUAGGGCGUUUGAGUAUGUAGUCGUAGACCCGAAACCAUGUGAUCUACCCAUGUCCAGGUUGAAGGUGCGGUAAAACGCACUGGAGGACCGAACCCACGUACGUUGAAAAGUGCGGGGAUGAGGUGUGGGUAGCGGAGAAAUUCCAAACGAACUUGGAGAUAGCUGGUUCUCUCCGAAAUAGCUUUAGGGCUAGCCUCGGAAUUGAGAAUGAUGGAGGUAGAGCACUGUUUGGACUAGGGGCCCAUCUCGGGUUACCGAAUUCAGAUAAACUCCGAAUGCCAUUCAUUCAUAUCCGGGAGUCAGACUGUGAGUGAUAAGAUCCAUAGUCGAAAGGGAAACAGCCCAGACCACCAGCUAAGGUCCCAAAAUAUAUGUUAAGU